CCGGGCCACGUCCACGGCACGGUGAGGCGCAAAGGCGUCUUGCAGCCCCACCCCCUACCCCCACCCCCCACUCGACGCUCUCUAAACUGCCGCGACCGACCCGGUGAGACAAGCAGCUGGAAACUCCUGCGGCCGUCCCCACCGCACGCCACACAUUCCUCAGAGGGAUGGAGAGGAUUUGGAUCCUUCUCACAGAGCAUAAAUAGUAUUAUGAAGAGCCAUUUAAGAAAUGGACAAUGGAAAUGUGGAAUCUGAGUGUGGAGAAGAAAGGCCUGAAGGCAGCAGGAUAAGAUUCUGUAUCUUUGAAUAGAAGACAACCUUUAUGUGCCUCAUGCCUGGGCAGGAUACAGAAUCUCUGUAAGACUAAGUGCUCAGUGACCAGCUGCUACAUUUUGGAGCUGUCUUUACAACCACUUCUCUUAUGGUAAUAAAAGGUGCUUAAAGGAGCCUCUUGGCACCAGCAAGAUUCCUUCUUUUUGUAUCCCAGCCGAGAUGGACUGACAUUGCAGAAGAAUAUGGCAGGAUAGCUGCAGAUCCUGAUUCAAGCAGGAGUGUGGAGGAUGCUGUAAGAGUCAGGAAGAAGAGAUCCAGGGAAUUAAGGUGCACUGGUUUUUCCCAAAGCACAGCCAAUGGAAAACUGCAGUGAGUCAGAAAAAUGAAAAGCCAAAUGGCACACCAGAAGUCAUGAUGGAGAAACAUUAUAACCUUG
rnacentral:lncRNA from 1 species